GCCCUUAUGACCUGGGCUACACACGUGCUACAAUGGACGGUACAAAGAGCUGCAAGACCGCGAGGUGGAGCUAAUCUCAUAAAACCGUUCUCAGUUCGGAUUGUAGGCUGCAACUCGCCUACAUGAAGCUGGAAUCGCUAGUAAUCGCGGAUCAGCAUGCCGCGGUGAAUACGUUCCCGGGCCUUGUACACACCGCCCGUCACACCACGAGAGUUUGUAACACCCGAAGUCGGUGGGGUAACCUUUUUGGAGCCAGCCGCCUAAGGUGGGACAGAUGAUUGGGGUGAAGUCGUAACAAGGUAGCCGUAUCGGAAGGUGCGGUUGGANCACC
rnacentral:rRNA from 1 species